AGCGUGCUGAGCCAGUCCAGGACUGCCCCCUCCUGGCCCACUCAGAGCCCCCGGGUGUGAGAAGCUCCGUCUCCCGUGGGUAGCAUUGGCCCUGCCCUAUCUCUGCCUCCAGCACCCAGGGCGGCCGCAGAUGGCAGUGUCUCUGGGGACAGCAGCUGCGAACGAGUCCACGGGCCGACGCUGAGCUGCUCAGGCUGAGGCGGUGUGCUCAGCACAGAGCCCCCGGAACUGGCAUCUGCAGGGCGUGAGCCAAGGCCGCCGCGAUGCCGCACUUCCUGGACUGGUUCGUGCCAGUCUACUUGGUCAUCUCCGUCCUCAUUCUGGUGGGCUUCGGCGCCUGCAUCUACUACUUCGAGCCGGGCCUGCAGGAGGCGCACAAGUGGCGCAUGCAGCGCCCCCUGGUGGACCGCGACCUCCGCAAGACGCUAAUGGUGCGCGACAACCUGGCCUUCGGCGGCCCGGAGGUCUGAGCCGACUUGCAAAGGGGCUGGGCGGGCGGCACCGGGCGCUCUCCCCCAGCCCGUCCAGCCCGGAGACCCCUAAGGCAGAGGGAGGCCGGCCUCUUGGCCCUCCACGCUAUCCCUCUGCAGCCUGGGCCCUCCCGACAGAGGCCCCAGGUGCGCUGGCAGUGGAGGUGGGGCACUUAGGUGCCUGGCUGGCCCAGGGCUUGCUCUCCGUGUCAAGCCGACUCACCCAGAGCCCACCCUCCCAAGCUCAGGGGCAUCCUCCGCUGGGCCCCAGUGCCUUUGUGCUGCGCAGCACUCUGCCCCUCCACUGGAGUCAGGCAUGUCUAUGGCUGCCUGUCCUGAGGCUCCCGAGCCCUCAUUUCUUCGUGAAAUCUCGGGUUUCCCCACUCAGCUCCCCUGCCUCCACUCAAUGGCACCGGCCCUGCAGCUUUAGGCGGCAGGCGUUGAAGCCAGCCCAAGGAAAGAACCUAAGAACCUCGUUUGGAGGGAUGUCAGCUUGGGCCAGCCCAGCCGCACCCCGCAGGGCUCAGGCUUGGAACUGGUGAGGGUGUGUGGUGGGGGUAUGCAGAGGGGUAAGACCGUGGUAGGGGAGAGGGUUGGGGAGGAGAGAGAGAGAGAGAGAGAGAGAGAGAGAGAGAGAGUCUGGGGGGAGCGGGCAAGCACGGGGAGAUGAGAUGUGUAUAUGUGAGAGAGAGCGUGGGGGCCCCAGGCAGGGCAGGAGGUGGUGGAAACGGGCUGAACUCCGUGGGCCGUGUGAGGACUGUCUAUAAUGGGUCCCAAUCCCCUCCCUCUGCUGGAGUUUCCUAGCCCUUCCCCUCCCCAAGACUGAGGCAGCAGGCAGGAGCCCCUGCCCUCCCUCCCUGUCCUGUGCCACACUUCUGGGGCCAAGCCCAGCCGCCUUGAGCCAGGCCCUGCCAGACUCCAAGCCCACCCUAGAACCCUUCUCCUGUGCAGAGACUCUGUUGCCUCACUUUGGACACAGAUUGGCAACCUGCCUCACCCUGCCCCCUUCGCUGGGGCUUCCAUCUUAAUUUAUUCUCAAUAAUAAAGACUUCAUGAUGAUC
rnacentral:sRNA from 1 species